rnacentral:rRNA from 1 species
UACGGAGGGGGCUAGCGUUGUUCGGAAUUACUGGGCGUAAAGCGCGCGUAGGCGGCUUUGUAAGUUAGAGGUGAAAGCCCGGGGCUCAACUCCGGAAUUGCCUUUAAGACUGCAUCGCUAGAAUCGUGGAGAGGUAAGUGGAAUUCCGAGUGUAGAGGUGAAAUUCGUAGAUAUUCGCAAGAACACCAGUGGCGAAGGCGGCUCACUGGCCCGAUACUGACGCUGAGGCACGAAAGCGUGGGGAGCAAACAGGG